CUUGUACUCCCUCUGUCCAAAAAUACUUGUCAUUGAAAUGGAUGUAUCUAGAUGUAUUUUAGUUCUAGACACAUCCAUUUUGAUGACAAGUAAUUCCGGACGGAGGGAGUACUUG
rfam:Triticum aestivum genome assembly, contig: Triticum_aestivum_CS42_TGACv1_scaffold_594530_7BS